rnacentral:rRNA from 1 species
GACGAACGCUGGCGGUAUGCUUAACACAUGCAAGUCGAACGAGACGGGAUGGAAGGAGCCUUCGGGUGACGGAAAUCCUAGAAAGUGGCGAACGGGUGAGUAACGCGUGGGUAACCUGCCCUAUGGAAAGGAAUAGCCUCGGGAAACUGGGAGUAAUGCCUUAUAAUAUACAGAAGUCGCAUGGCUUUUGUAUUAAACGCUCCGGUGCCAUAGGAUGGACCCGCGUCCCAUUAGCUAGUUGGUGAGAUAACAGCCCACCAAGGCGACGAUGGGUAACCGGUCUGAGAGGGCGAACGGUCACACUGGAACUGAGACACGGUCCAGACUCCUACGGGAGGCAGCAGUGGGGAAUAUUGCGCAAUGGGGGCAACCCUGACGCAGCAAUACCGCGUGAGUGAAGAAGGUUUUCGGAUCGUAAAGCUCUGUUAUUGGGGAAGAAAAAAGACGGUACCCAAGAAGAAAGUCCCGGCUAACUACGUGCCAGCCGCCGCCGUAAUAC